AUUGAACGCUGGCGGCAGGCCUAACACAUGCAAGUCGAGCGGAAACGAGUUAACUGAACCUUCGGGGGACGUUAACGGCGUCGAGCGGCGGACGGGUGAGUAAUGCCUGGGAAAUUGCCCUGAUGUGGGGGAUAACCAUUGGAAACGAUGGCUAAUACCGCAUAAUAGCUUCGGCUCAAAGAGGGGGACCUUCGGGCCUCUCGCGUCAGGAUAUGCCCAGGUGGGAUUAGCUAGUUGGU
rnacentral:rRNA from 1 species